GACGAACGCUGGCGGCGUGCUUAACACAUGCAAGUCGAACGGAAAGGCCCUGCUUUUGUGGGGUGCUCGAGUGGCGAACGGGGGAGUAACAAGUGAGUAACCAGCCCUUGACUUUGGGAUAACUUCAGGAAACUGGGGAUAAUACAGGAUAGGAGCUCCUGCUGCAUGGUGGGGGUGGGAAAGGUUCGGCGGUUGGGGAUGGACUCGCGGCUUAUCAGCUUGGUGGUGGGGUAGUGGCUUACGAAGGCUUUGUCGGGUAGCCGGCCUGGGAGGGUGACCGGCCCCAUUGGGACUGAGGUACGGCCCAGACUCCAACGGGCGGCAUCAGUGGAGAUUAUUGCACGCUGGGCGGAAGCCUGAUUCAGCAACGCCGCGUUCGGGAUGACGGCCUUCGGGUUGUAAACCGCUUUCGCCUGUUACUAAGCGUGAUUGACGGUAAUGGGUAAAGAAGCACCGGCUAACUACGUG
rnacentral:rRNA from 1 species